rnacentral:rRNA from 1 species
AUUGAACGCUGGCGGCAGGCCUAACACAUGCAAGUCGAACGAGUGGCGGACGGGUGAGUAAUGUCUGGGAAACUGCCCGUUGGAGGGGGAUAACUACUGGAAACGGUAGCUAAUACCGCAUACCAUCAGAUGCGCCCAGAUGGGAUUAGCUUGUUGGUGGGGUAACGGCUCACCAGGGCGACGAUCCCUAGCUGGUCCGAGAGGAGGACCAUGCACACGGGAACUGAGAAACGGUCCAGACGCCUACGGGAGGAAGCAGUGGGGAAUAUUGCACAGUGGGCGAAAACGUGAUGCGGCCAGGCGGAGUGUAUGAGGAGGGCCUUCGGGUUGUAAAGUACUUUCAGCGGGAAGGCGUUACCCGCAGAAGAAGCAACGGCUAACUCAGUGCCAGCCGCCGCGGUAAUUC